rnacentral:rRNA from 1 species
UACGGAGGAUCCAAGCGUUAUCCGGAAUCAUUGGGCUUAAAGGGUCCGUAGGCGGUCUGGUAAGUCAGUGGUGAAAUACUCCAGCUUAACUGGAGGGGUGCCAUUGAUACUGCAGGGCUUGAGUGGAGUCGAAGUAGGCGGAAUUGACGGUGUAGCGGUGAAAUGCUUAGAUAUCGUCAAGAACACCGAUAGUGAAGACAGCGUACUAGGCUUCUACUGACGCUGAGGCACGAAAGUGUGGGGAUCAAACAGG